AAAAUCUCGUUAAGGGUCUAUGGUGGAUGCCUUGACUCAAAGAGCCGAUGAAGGACGUAGCAGCCUGCGAUAAGCUUCGGGGAGGUGGCAAGCAACCUGUGAGCCGGAGAUAUCCGAAUGGGGUAACCUCACCUGUGGAAGACAGGUGGUCCGCCAGCUGAACACAUAGGCUGGUGAGACGACUACCCGGUGAACUGAAACAUCUUAGUAACCGGAGGAAAAGAAAAAAAUAAUGAUCUCUAAUCAAGGACUAGCUGUUAGGCAGAUAGUGCUUGAUUAGAGAUUUUGAUUCCCUGAGUAGUGGCGAGCGAAAGGGGAUGAGCCUAAACCUAGUUAACUGCGUUAGUGGAAGCUGCUUUCGGGCAGUGGAAGCUAACUGAAGGAGCUAAGUCCAUAUGUUAACUGGGAGUUGCAAGGUCGGUGUGCUGACUACUUAGUUUGGUCAGGCCAAGUCAUAAAAUUUGAAGUUAGCUGAAGGAGCUGGAAAGCUCGGCCAAAGACGGUGAUAGCCCGGUAAGCGAAAAUUUCAGACUCUUGGUGAUGCUGAUUCUUAAGUACUGCGGAACUCGUGAAAUUCCGUAGGAAGCUGGGUCGACUAUGACCCAAGGCUAAAUACUCUUUGAGAUCGAUAGUGAACUAGUACCGUGAGGGAAAGGUGAAAAGCAUCCCGGUUAGGGAGAUGAAAUAGUACCUGAAACCGUAGACUUACAAGGAGUCGGAGCCUGAUGCCGCAAGGUAUUGGGUGACGGCGUGCCUAUUGAAGAAUGAGCCAACGAGUUUGUUGUAUGUGGCUUGGUUAAUCUCGCGAAGUGAGAGAAGCCAAAGUGAAAGCGAGGGUUAAUAGCCCGUUGGCCGCAAGGCCGGUCGCAUGCACAAGACCCGAAGCCGGGUGAUCUAUCCAUGGUCAGGUUGAAUCUGGGUGAAAGCUCAGAAGAGGACCGAACCGGUUGGUCGUGCAACACCAUCGGAUGAACUGUGGAUAGCGGAGAAAUUCCAAUCGAACUCGGCAAUAGCUGGUUCUCCUCGAAAUAGUUUUAGGACUAGCCUCAAGCGCUGACUAUGGGGGGUAGAGCACUGAAUGAGGGUGGGCCGCAAGGUACCAUCUUUAAACAAACUCCGAAUACCCAUAGGUGUAGCUUGGGAGUCAGACUGCGGGGGCUAAGCUUCGCUAGUCAAAAGGGAAACAGCCCAGACCGCUAUCUAAGGUCCCUAAAUAUAAGCUAAGUGUAAAAGGUAGUGUCGCGACUACGACAACCAGGAUGUUGGCUUAGAAGCAGCCAUCAUUUAAAGAAAGCGUAAUAGCUCACUGGUCAAGUUGUUUCGCGCCGAAAAUUUAUCGGGGCUAAGCUUAUUACCGAAGAUGCGGGUUGUCCAUGUAAAUGGACAGCGGUAGAGGAGCGUUCCAAUUCCGUUGAAGUCGCAACGUGAGUUGCGGUGGAGGAUUUGGAAGUGAAAAUGUUGGCAUAAGUAGCAAAAAGGCAAGUGAAAACCUUGCCCACCGAAAAUCUAAGGGUUCCUGGGCAACGAAACUCGACCCAGGGUUAGUCGAUCCUAAGGUGAGGCCAUUGUAGUGGUGGCGUAGCCGAUGGAAGAGCUGGUUAAUAUUCCAGCACUACUAUAAUUUUCCGAUGGGGGGACGCGUUGACAAAGUUUAAGCGUACUAUGGUUUGUGCGUUGUUGGCUUGGCCGUGCCGCCUAGGCAAAUCCGGGUGGCGUUAGCGGCUGAGUUGACUGCCGGCAAAGCUUUCGGGCGGCGCCAAUUUAAGCGGAGUCAGCGCCAAGAAAAUCCUCUAGGGCUAAGAUUAUAGUAAUCGUACUGCAAACCGACACAGGUAGAUGAGGCGAGGAGCCUAAGGUGUACGAGAGAACCUUCGUUAAGGAACUCGGCAAAUCAGCGGUCGUAAGUUCGCAAUAAGACCUCCCCGCGCGAGCGGGGCGCAGCUAAAGACAGCCAAGUGACUGUUUACCAAAAACACAGCUCUCUGCUAAAUCGUAAGAUGAUGUAUAGAGGGUGAUGCCUGGCCAGUGUCCGAACGUUAAGGGGAGAGGUUAGCCGUAAGGCAAAGCCUUGAACUGAAGCGCGGAUGAACGCCGGCCGUAACUAUAACGGUCCUAAGGUAGCGAAAUUCCUUGUCGGGUAAAUUCCG
rnacentral:rRNA from 1 species